AUCUUACUCCCUCUGUCCCAAAAUAAGUGACUCAAAAAUGACUCAACUUUGUACUACAGUUAGUACAAAAUUGAGUCAUUUUUGAGUCACUUAUUUUGGGACGGAGGGAGUACAUU
rfam:Triticum aestivum genome assembly, contig: Triticum_aestivum_CS42_TGACv1_scaffold_513696_6BS